GACGAACCGUGCGAACGUUGUUCGGAAUCACUGGGCUUAAAGCGUGUGUAGGCGGAUGUCUAAGUACCUUGUGAAAUCCCACGGCUCAACCGUGGAACUGCUUGGUAUACUGGAUGUCUUGAGCCAUCUAGGGGCUACCGGAACAAAUGGUGGAGCGGUGAAAUGCGUAGAUAUCAUUUGGAACGCCAAUGGUGAAAACAGGUAGCUGGGGAUGUGCUGACGCUGAGACACGAAAGCCAGGGGAGCAAACGGG
rnacentral:rRNA from 1 species